rnacentral:rRNA from 1 species
CGGUGAGUGAAGAAGGCCUUCGGGUUGUAAAGCUCUUUUGUCAGGCAAGAAACACCGGCUCUAACACAGUCCGGGAAUGACGGUACCUGAAGAAUAAGCACCGGCUAACUACGUGCCAGCAGCCGCGGUAAUACGUAGGGUGCGAGCGUUAAUCGGAAUUACUGGGCGUAAAGCGUGCGCAGGCGGUUAUACAAGACAGGCGUGAAAUCCCCGGGCUUAACCUGGGAAUGGCGCCUGUGACUGUAUAGCUAGAGUGUGUCAGAGGGGGGUAGAAUUCCACGUGUAGCAGUGAAAUGCGUAGAUAUGUGGAGGAAUACCAAUGGCGAAGGCAGCCCCCUGGGAUAACACUGACGCUCAUGCACGAAAGCGUGGGGAGCAAACAGGAUUAGAUACCCUGGUAGUCCACGCCCUAAACGAUGCUGACUAGUUGUCCGGGAUUUACCAUCCUGAGUAACGUAGCUAACGCGUGAAGUCAGCCGCCUGGGGAGUACGGUCGCAAGAUUUAAACUCAAAGGGAAUUG